rnacentral:rRNA from 1 species
GAUGAACGCUGGCGGCGUGCCUAAUACAUGCAAGUCGAGCGAACAGAUAAGGAGCUUGCUCCUUUGACGUUAGCGGCGGACGGGUGAGUAACACGUGGGUAACCUACCUAUAAGACUGGAAUAACUCCGGGAAACCGGGGCUAAUGCCGGAUAACAUUUAGAACCGCAUGGUUCUAAAGUGAAAGAUGGUUUUGCUAUCACUUAUAGAUGGACCCGCGCCGUAUUAGCUAGUUGGUAAGGUAACGGCUUACCAAGGCAACGAUACGUAGCCGACCUGAGAGGGUGAUCGGCCACACUGGAACUGAGACACGGUCCAGACUCCUACGGGAGGCAGCAGUAGGGAAUCUUCCGCAAUGGGCGAAAGCCUGACGGAGCAACGCCGCGUGAGUGAUGAAGGUCUUCGGAUCGUAAAACUCUGUUAUUAGGGAAGAACAAAUGUGUAAGUAACUGUGCACGGCUUGACGGUACCUAAUCAGAAAGCCACGGCUAACUACGUG